AGAGCCGUCAGGGCCCGCCGAGUCGCGAGCUCUCCUGGAGCCUAGGUCACUCCCCACCCCACUCCGCCCCACCCCACCCCCAGCUCUCUUUGAGCUCAAGGCUCUUCCAGUGUCCUGUCCCGAGCGCAGCCUGAACAGAGCUGGUAGACCUGUGUCUUCACCCAGGACGCAGGUCGCAAAGCUCCAAGUCCCAGCUACUCGCUUUUGGGGGAUUGGGUGAUGUUGAAAGAGAGUUGAUGUUGCUCUUACUACUCUCACUAGUGGAAAGUGUGCUGUUAUAUUCGAAGCUUCGCUGUAGUAAUAUUAUAUAUACUUGUGUGUGUGUGUGUGUGUGUGUGUGUGUGUGUGUGUGCGUGUUAGAUAAACGGACGGUACAGUUUUGUGUUGGCCUGCAGCUUCCAGUAGCGCACAGGAGACUCCUCUCCCGUAGUGCAGUGAGCUGAGGCAUCUAGAAUUCGGGUUCAAGGCAGACUAACAGAGGGCGCCGCCAGGGCUGGCCAAAUUCUGGCUUCUAUUUCUUUGAAUUCCCGAUUUAAUUCGAUCACUUUGAACAGGGUGCCAGUGGCUAGGACAGAAGAAGAUGUAGAGGUGCGUCUCCAGGGCUGGCCUGGAAGUGGACUUGUCACAGUCUCUGGAGGGUUCUCUGCCUGUGCCCCCGCUCUCUGUGUCCUCUUUUCCACAACUGAAAGCAUUGCAAGGAAGGGGCACCCAGAUUCUGCCGGUGCAGGGGAUGCGGAAGGGGGGGGGGAGCAGAAGAGGUUAGGCAAGCCCAUCCCUCUUGGAGUCCAGGAUGCUGGGAAGACCUGGGCAGCCUGCAUCUACCUCUCUCCGCCAAGCUGUUCGUGGGUUUUGAGGGCUCGGUGUUCCACAUUGCUUGGCUGUCUGGAUAGUUUUGAGAGGAGUUACGGUGGACAUUCACAAGAGCUAGCUACGCUUUGGGAUACCUAGGCCAGCUAGCUUCACCUUACUACUUGCAACCCGAGUCCUACAGCUGCCAGGUUUGGAAUGAAAACGGCACAUCCCCACAAAGUUCCUUCAGAUUAGCUUUACACGCAGUGAAGAGACUGAUUCAUUCUGACAAGGCCCGUCUGGUCGAAGGAUUGGCUUUCAAUGAAAGGACCAUGGCUGAAGGUACAUGCUUUCCCUGUAAAGCUGGCACAUUGCCGCGGGCAGACCUGACUGCUCUUGCUUGGGCAGAGGAAGGUUGCACGCUCGCUUGCUACUACCCCCACCUCCUUUCUAACUGUAAGUCUUAGUCUAAGAGGGAGUGUCUCUAAGGAAGAGAGCCUCGGAUCUGUGUCCAGCCCUUCAGAGAGAGAGAGAUGUGCUGAAUCAGCUUGUGUGGAAUAACUGGCCAAGCAAGAUGGGGUGGUACAACUCCCUUGGCCUGAGCACAUCUAAAGAUGAAUCAAAGAGGAGAUGAGGUAGUGGCAGCAGGCAGGGGUGGAAGGAUGUUGGCACCUUUAGCUUCUCAUGGGUCGUACAGUUUCCAGUCAAUUGGAGCCCCUGUUCAGUGAGGAUGACAGAAGCUUCUAGAAUCAUUGUAGGAAGCUGGCCAGUAAAAGAUAGGUUGGAGAUCAGAACUGCUUCACUUUCUCCAUUGAACAAUUUCUCCUGAGGGUUAGUGCCCACGUUAUGAUUACAGCUUCAGCGUCUAGCUCCCUAACUUGCUUCUACAGAUUCGCCUAAUGGCUGUGUGUUGGCUGAUGGUCACAGGUGCUGGGAAUAUUAGGAUGUAUCGCUAGCUCAUCUCCUCCUCUGUUCCAGCCAUCCCUCCUUGUUUCUUGUUUUCUCACCAACUAGACCAGAGGCUCCUCUAGGCUCCCCCACGUUUUCCUGUUUCAACGCUUGGGCCCACGAGGAGCUCAGUACCAGUGGGAACACAGCGGGAAGGGAACAGGACUCAUGGACCUGCAGUGGAUCCGCUCACCUUUGUCUCAGUCAUGUGUGGAAACUAACCAGGUGAGGGCUGCUUUGCCCUGGUCAAUACUGAGAACAUAAACCCUCGUUCGUUACUGCUCAGCUGGACUUUCCUGGUGAUACUGAAAGCCCUUAGGAGCUUCCUGGCACCCAAGAAGUGAGCGUGUCCAGUGACCACCACCAUGAUGCUCUCUGCUUGCUGCGCAUCCUGUGAAACUUCUCCCCCCUUCACUAACUGAGGAUCCACAGCAGUUAAUGGUUGGUGAGGUAGGGAGCGGCAUUUUCUUUAGUGGAGUAGCUACUGGUAAGUCUCCCAUGUUCAUGUGACCUUAUAAACGUAUAGCCACAUUCCUGUAAGUAAUGCUUAUGUGAUUCAUUCAUUCACACAUGCAAACAAUAACAAUAACCCCUCUUCAAAGCAAAAACACCCCAAACCUGACUUGAAAGUAGAAGAGUAGCUAAGAAGAGGAAGAGGAUCAGAAGUGACAGGAACAGAAAGAAGGCAAGGGGCGUGUAAAUAUUAUCAAAAUACACGAUAUGCAAGUAUGAGAAAUCCUAUGUGAUAUCUAUGCUGAUAAAAACUUCAAAUGCAAAGUCAGCAGCCGUGAAGCCCCCCCAAGCUUCUCCUCCCUUUCAACUUCCUCAGGUGUUUACCACAGAGACAGGAACCUGAUGCAGGGAUGACAUCUGUGGUUUUAUAUCACGCCUUCUCCCAGUUGACUAUAAUAAAAGUGGCCAUUGAUAUAAGGCUGGAAAACAGAACUAAACAGUUUCUCAGUGUUUGAAUUCUGGAACCAUGUUAGAGUUGACCACAAGAAAGAAAAGACCUUGUGCUCACUGCAACCAAACCGUAAAACACCCUGGAGGUGUUUUAUAUCCGAUAUCCACCAUUUGGUAAAAGAUUGUAAAGUACGUAAAGAAGCAGGAAAAUGAAACCCGUAAUCAAGAAGAAGAACGGUGAAGUAGAAGCAGAUCCAUGGAAAUGAACAGGGUGGGAAACAAGUUUAAUGUCAACCCAAGUCAAAGGGAAGCCAGAGUGCUGUAUCACAAAACACACCUCAAAAUAAGGCGAGAAGAAUUGAAAAGGCACUGCAAAUGGGCAAAGGGCCAUUUAUUUCAUCAAGAAGACAUCCAUAUUGACUGUGGAAUCACUGCGUACCAGAGUUGUAAAACAUAAGAAUAAACAUUGAAAAUACUAAAGGGUAAAAUGACAACUUUGUAUUUAUAGACUAACAGAAUUCAUAGAAAAUGUUCACAAAAUUAUUAAGGACAUAGAAGAUCUAAACCUUAUCAUUAAUAUUUGUGGCACAUCACGAGUCCCAUCCCCAUAACCUUAUCUAUGCAUAACUGUCUCCCACAGACACUAUCUGUCACCUUCAAAGAUCUUUAAUCAUAAAACAAGUCUCAAUAAAUUAUAAAGAAGGGAAACUAUGGGUGUUUAUAGAACCAAAUUUGAUAAUUAUGUAUCUAGAAGUUACCAGAUAUUUGGGAAUUAAACAACAACAUAUGAAUAAAAAUUAAUUAUAAGAGAAAUUUAAUAUACUUUCUUUUUAUCUUAUUUUGUUUUGAGUCAAAAUUCCACAGUGUUGCCCAGACUGGUCUUGGUCUUGGAAUCCUUUGCCUGAGUCUACAGACUAGCUGAGAUUCAAUUUUCAAAUGGAAAUAUGUUUUUAUCAAGUAAAAACAUAAAGAUAAAAAUCUUAGGAUGUGCUCUAAGCAAAGCAGACAGAGAGAGAAUUACAUGUGUGUGUCUAAGACGGAAGACAGCUUAAAGUUGAUCACCCACAUUUCUACCGUAAGAAGCUUCGCACAAAGAACAAAUGAAACUCAGUGUUGGUAUAAACAGGUAGUAAAGAUAAAAGUGUUUAAAUUGGUGUCACAGGAUCCAAAGGCAAGAAAUACCAAUGGAAUUUUGAUAACGGAUCAGGAGACAGUCAUAAGUACUCGGACUGGGAAAGAAAUUGUCCCUGGGUAGGUUCUGAGUCACCUAGCAGGUUGCUUCUCCCCAGGCCAGUACACUGAGAUGUAAUAUUUGAGAACAAAACGUAAACAACACCUUGGAAUGUCUUUGAAGAGACAACAAAGGCAGGCUGUCUGCACCCUUCACCACAUCUCUACCUCCUGACAGUCUCUGGUCCUUCCCCUUGUCAACUUGGUGGCCAUAGGCAGAACAGCUUGGCUAUAUGUACCUGCUCCUCAGGAGUUGAGGUUGUACACAUCUUCCAUGUAGGGUGGAUACUGCCUGGUACAGCAUCAUGGUGGCCUCUUGAGGAAAAAGAUCCCUUGGUAUAAGGGAGGGAAUCCCGGUUAGAAGGAGGAACUACUAAGCCAGAGCUCUCUCCCUGCCCCCUUUCUGGGAGGAGAGACUGACUGGAAGGAGACCUUUCAUUCAAAUAACCACACCAUGUUGAGGUCUGUACUAAUUUCCGGUGAAGGCACAGAGCAAAUGGGGACACUUGGUUCUCUCCUGGGGAUGAGUUUGCCUCCUGACCUUUUGUGGUACCCGAGGAGAUAAGCGAGAACAUUCUGAAAGAAAGAGAAAGAAGAGAGCCCUAAAAACAAAGCAGACUGCUGUCAUAGAAGCCACGAGGGCCAGGGCAGCAAAGGACACAGACUGGAGUAAAAUAACUGGAUAAAGGAGACCCAGGGGAACUCAGCAGAGGUUGGAGGUGUGGCCUUUCUCUGGAAGAGAGCAGGUGCAGGAUGCUGGAAAGGAUGUCUUAUUGACCUCUGGAGGUUGAUCACCAGCUUAAGGAUGGAGACAUUCUUGGUAGCCAUGGGGUGGG